rnacentral:rRNA from 1 species
ACUCAAAUGAAUAGACGGGGACCCGCACAAGCGGUGGAGCAUGUGCUUUAAUUCGAUGCAACGCGUAGAACCUUACCCGGUCUUGACAUAGUUCUGCCAGUCUCAGAGAUGAGACUUUCAGCAAUGACAGGACAUACAGAUGCUGCAUGGUUGUCGUCAGCUCGUGUCGUGAGAUGUUGGGUUAAGUCCCGCAACGAGCGCAACCCUUGCCGAUAGUUGCCAACAGGUAAUGCUGGGGACUCUAUCGGGACUGCCUUCGCAAGGAGGAGGAAGGUGGGGAUGACGUCAAAUCAUCAUGGCUCUUACGACCGGGGCUAGACACGUGCUACAAUGGCGAUUACAAAGAGCUGCUACUUGGUAACAAGAUGCUAAUCUCAAAAAAGUCGUCUCAGUUCGGAUAGAGGUCUGCAACUCGACCUCUUGAAGUUGGAAUCGCUAGUAAUCGUGGGUCAGCAUACCACGGUGAAUACGUUCCCGGGUCUUGUACACACCGCCCGU